rnacentral:rRNA from 1 species
AGGCGGCUUAAUAAGUCAGUGGUGAAAUCCCUACGCUUAACGUAGGAACGGCCAUUGAUACUGUUAGGCUUGAAUUAUUAGGAAGUAACUAGAAUAUGUAGUGUAGCGGUGAAAUGCUUAGAGAUUACAUGGAAUACCAAUUGCGAAGGCAGGUUACUACUAAUGGAUUGACGCUGAUGGACGAAAGCGUGGGUAGCGAACAGGAUUAGAUACCCUGGUAGUCCACGCCGUAAACGAUGGAUACUAGCUGUUGGGAGCAAUCUCAGUGGCUAAGCGAAAGUGAUAAGUAUCCCACCUGGGGAGUACGUUCGCAAGAAUGAAACUCAAAGGAAUUGACGGGGGCCCGCACAAGCGGUGGAGCAUGUGGUUUAAUUCGAUGAUACGCGAGGAACCUUACCAAGGCUUAAAUGUAGAUUGACCGAUUUGGAAACAGAUCUUUCGCAAGACAAUUUACAAGGUGCUGCAUGGUUGUCGUCAGCUCGUGCCGUGAGGUGUCAGGUUAAGUCCUAUAACGAGCGCAACCCCUGUUGUUAGUUGCCAGCGAGUCAAGUCGGGAACUCUAACAAGACUGCCAGUGCAAACUGUGAGGAAGGUGGGGAUGACGUCAAAUCAUCACGGCCCUUACGCCUUGGGCUACACACGUGCUACAAUGGACGGUACANAGAGCA